ACAACACAACACGAGCUCUUAGAUUCAGAGAACAACAUUAACACACACAAACAGUUCGCACUUUAAGGAUCUCCCUCCCAUUUACUAGCUCUCUCAACUAUUCUAUUCUUAACCAACUCUCUCUCUCUCUGACUUUUCACUUUCUCUUACAUUAAUUUUCCUACUUACAUUUUUUUUUGUUCCUCAGAAACAACAACAUGGUCUCUGGUCCAACAACAACAACACUUUCUCUUUCUUCUUCUUCAUCUUCUUUUUUGUUUAGUUUUAAUUCCCUGAAAUUUUCACAGCGAGCUAGGUUGAAGUUUAUAGACAACGUGAACGAAAGAAAAUUCACGUUCGCGCCUUUGAAAUGCAUUCGCAUAUCGGGUUUCGAUUCGUGUUCCGCCUUGACGGCGACGGAAGCCCCGCUAGCUCAGUCGACGGAGCUCGUGUCCGACAAGCUCCACCGCCUGGCGACGGAGUUCAGGGCCCUGCACGAGCCAAUCGACCGGGUGAAGCGGCUGCUGCACUACGCGGCGAUUCUUCCUCCGGCGGACGAGUCGAGUACUCGGGCGCCGGAGAACCGGGUCACGGGGUGCACGACCCAGGUGUGGGUGGAGGCCGAGUUGGACGAGUCGGGUCGGGUUCGGUUCAGGGCCGACAGCGACUCGGAGAUUUCCAAAGGGUUCUGCUCGUGCUUGAUUUACGUGCUGGACGGUGCGGAUCCGGAGGAGGUGGCCAUGGUCAAGGUCGACGACUUGUCGGAUUUGAACGUUGGCUUGCACGGCAAGUCGCAUUCUAGAGUCAACACGUGGCACAAUGUGCUCGUGGCUAUGCUGAAGAGGACCGAGGCUUUGCUCCCACAACAACCUCAGAGUUGCAAGGGGUAUUAAGUAUUAACAACUGCGGAGAAGAUUUGGCCUCGUAUCUAGACAUCUGAGUCAUUGAUUAUGGCAGAUACCACAAGAUGGCAAAAGCUGGAUGCCAAUUUAUCACGGUCUUAAGUGUGGAUUUUAUUUGGGAAAACGUGUGUGCGAUCCUUGAUUAAGCUGGAUUUGGGAAGGGAUUCCUAUAGUAUAAAUUUAAACAUACUUUAUGGACCUGAUCCCUACAUGACUGCAAUAUUACCAAGUUGUUUCAGCGGAUGGCUAUAAUGGGAAAUGAAAAGGUUGCUGAGAUAUAUCCAGGACACCACGAGAGACUUCGAUAGUAUCACUGUUGCCUUGCAUGCACUAUUAUCAUGUAACUCUUUAGUUGCUUUAGGGUUUUUUUUCUUUUCUUUUCUUUUUUUGGGUAUAACUACUUUUUAAGAUAUGUCGUAUGGAUUAAACGUGGCUUUUGGAUUUUAUAUCAUGUCAAUUUUGUUUACUUUCUAGUUGUAUCUUGUAUUUAAUAAAAGGAAUGUUCUGUAAAAAGUUUCUUUUACUGGAACUUAUGACCUAUCCUCCUUCAACUU